CAAUAGCGUAUAUUAAAGUUGUUGCGGUUAAAAAAGCUCGUAGUUGGAUUUCUGGUGGGAGUGCCGGUCCGGCUCGCGUAAGGUGUGUACUUGGUUGUCUCCCGUCAUCCUUGUGGGAACUGCUCUGGCAUUAAGUUGUCGGGGUUAGGGAACACAUCGUUUACUGUGAAAAAAUUAGAGUGUUUAAAGCAGGCUUAUGCCGUUGAAUACAUUAGCAUGGAAUAAUAAGAUAGGACUUUGGCGUCUAUUUUGUUGGUUUGCACACCAAGGUAAUGAUUAAUAGGGAUAGUUGGGGGUAUUCGUAUUUAAUUGUCAGAGGUGAAAUUCUUGGAUUUAUGAAAGACGAA
rnacentral:rRNA from 1 species